rnacentral:rRNA from 1 species
GAUGAACGCUGGCGGCGUGCCUAAUACAUGCAAGUCGAGCGAACAGACGAGGAGCUUGCUCCUUUGACGUUAGCGGCGGACGGGUGAGUAACACGUAGGUCACCUACCUAUAAGACUGGGAUAACUUCGGGAAACCGGAGCUAAUACCGGAUAAUAUUUCGAACCGCAUGGUUCGAUAGUGAAAGAUGGCUUUGCUAUCACUUAUAGAUGGACCUGCGGCGUAUUAGCUAGUUGGUAAGGUAACGGCUUACCAAGGCAACGAUACGUAGCCGACCUGAGAAGGUGAUCGGCCACACUGGAACUGAGACACGGUCCAGACUCCUACGGGAAGCAGCAGGAGGGAAUCUUCCGCAAUGGGCGAAAGCCUGACGGAGCAACGCCGCGUGAGGGAUGAAGGUCUUCGGAUCGUAAAACUCUGUUAUUAGGGAAGAACAAACGUGUAAGUAACUGUGCACGUCUUGACGGUACCUAAUCAGAAAGCCACGGCUAACUACGUG